rnacentral:rRNA from 1 species
GAUGAACGCUGGCGGCGUGCCUAAUACAUGCAAGUCGAGCGAACAGACGAGGAGCUUGCUCCUCUGACGUUAGCGGCGGACGGGUGAGUAACACGUGGAUAACCUACCUAUAAGACUGGGAUAACUUCGGGAAACCGGAGCUAAUACCGGAUAAUAUAUUGAACCGCAUGGUUCAAUAGUGAAAGACGGUUUUGCUGUCACUUAUAGAUGGAUCCGCGCCGCAUUAGCUAGUUGGUAAGGUAACGGCUUACCAAGGCAACGAUGCGUAGCCGACCUGAGAGGGUGAUCGGCCACACUGGAACGGAGACACGGUCCAGACUCCUACGGGAGGCAGCAGUAGGGAAUCUUCCGCAGUGGGCGAAAGCCUGACGGAGCAACGCCGCGUGAGUGAUGAAGGUCUUCGGAUCGUAAAACUCUGUUAUUAGGGAAGAACAAAUGUGUAAGUAACUAUGCACGUCUUGACGGUACCUAAUCAGAAAGCCACGGCUAACUACGUG